AUCCAUUUGAAAUUGACAAUAAAAAUUUAUUCAAUAUUCCUCAUAUACUAGUUCUAUACACGAGUUAGUCAAUUUUAAAGGCAAAAGGAGAACAAACUUGCAAGUCGGCCUUUUCCUUCCUGUAAUCUCAGCAGUUGAUAUAUUUAUACAUUAUUCGUUAUUGAUUUAAACGCCACCUUCAACAUUCCGCAGUUAUUGACUUUUGUUUAUAAAUAGUUUUCAAGGUGUCCAUUUACAUAAUGUAUUUCAAGGCAGCGUUUAAACUCCUUAAACCCCUAACUAUUUUGUUGUAAAGUGGAGAAUGUUCACUAUUUGACUUCAAGGUCAACGACACGGCAUGCAAAAAUCUGUAGCUCACAGUAUUCUAAUAUGAAUUUUUUGAAAUUUGCAGACAAAUGUGUACUAACCAUUUUGGUCUUUUUUGUCGAAGAGCAAACCUUCCACGUGGCUUAAAUUCUAUAUCUGAAUCAAAAAUAGCUAGUCAAAUCGACACCUUUUACCAAGCAACUGCAAGUGCAAGAAAUUAAAAAUAAGAAUGAAAAAAAAAAA